GCCUUUUACAUGCCCUUUCAAACCAGUGUCUUCUCUCCUUCCUCAGAGGUCUCCACUCCUGAGUGUAGGCUUGUCACUCCCACAAAGCAUAAUAAGCGAGCAUUUAAAAAUUGUCCAGGUCGGUUGAAGGCAUUCUGAGAAAAGAAGCUUGUGGUCAGAUUCUUACUCCGGAUUUGUUAUAUACGUUGAAAGCACUGAAGAGGCUCUCAGACCUGGGAAGAAAUUUGUCAAUUUCUGGAGUCAGCAUUGACCACAGAACCUCUUUCCCCAUCCUCUGUGCACUCUGGUUGCUUGAAACAUGCUAUGGCUUCUUAACUUUCUAGAUGUAGAUGACAAAGUUAGUAGUAGUCAUCAUUUCCAGUUGAUGUUGAUUAUUAGAUCAAGUUUAAAAUAAAUUUACAAAAGAGGAAGGUAAAGUGCUAAUAAGUUGCAUAUUUAUUGACCAGCAUGCAAGUUACUUACCCUCCUUAAUUUUUAAGUUCCUGAGCUCUCCUCCAUUGAAGUGUCUGGCUCUGGACCAUGGCUACAUAUAACCUUUGCCUUAAACUCAUCUGUUAACCUUUUAUGUUCUGUGGUUGGACUAUGCUGAGUUUAUUGUUCAUGUCUGACACAUUUUCUUGAAUAACGGUUAUCUAACUGUUAAUGUACAACAUGGUACUCAAAUCCUUUGCUCUUUUUUCUCCUGUAUUAGAAAAUCUUGGUCCUUUUUGUAAUUUAUGUAUAAAAGAGUUUUUUAUUAACAUUUGUUCAUGUAAUGGUCUGAUCCAGGAAAAAUAAAACAGGAAAAUGGACACUAUUUCUGACCUUCAAAUAAAACUCUUAUUAGUUUUUAGACUGUU